rnacentral:tRNA from 1 species
GGUCGAUUAACUCAGUUGGUUAGAGUGUGGUGCUAAUAGAACAUCCUAUGAAGGAUGUAAGACACGCCAAAGUCAUGGGUUCGACCCCCAUAUUGACCA